rnacentral:rRNA from 1 species
UUUUGUAUAAUGGGUCAGCGACUUAUAUUCUGUAGCAAGGUUAACCGAAUAGGGGAGCCGAAGGGAAACCGAGUCUUAACUGGGCGUUAAGUUGCAGGGUAUAGACCCGAAACCCGGUGAUCUAGCCAUGGGCAGGUUGAAGGUUGGGUAACACUAACUGGAGGACCGAACCGACUAAUGUUGAAAAAUUAGCGGAUGACUUGUGGCUGGGGGUGAAAGGCCAAUCAAACCGGGAGAUAGCUGGUUCUCCCCGAAAGCUAUUUAGGUAGCGCCUCGUGAAUUCAUCUCCGGGGGUAGAGCACUGUUUCGGCAAGGGGGUCAUCCCGACUUACCAACCCGAUGCAAACUGCGAAUACCGGAGAAUGUUAUCACGGGAGACACACGGCGGGUGCUAACGUCCGUCGUGAAGAGGGAAACAACCCAGACCGCCAGCUAAGGUCCCAAAGUCAUGGUUAAGUGGGAAACGAUGUGGGAAGGCCCAGACAGCCAGGAUGUUGGCUUAGAAGCAGCCAUCAUUUAAAGAAAGCGUAAUAGCUCACUGGUCGAGUCGGCCUGCGCGGAAGAUGUAACGGGGCUAAACCAUGCACCGAAGCUGCGGCAGCGACACUAUGUGUUGUUGGGUAGGGGAGCGUUCUGUAAGCCUGCGAAGGUGUACUGUGAGGUAUGCUGGAGGUAUCAGAAGUGCGAAUGCUGACAUAAGUAACGAUAAAGCGGGUGAAAAGCCCGCUCGCCGGAAGACCAAGGGUUCCUGUCCAACGUUAAUCGGGGCAGGGUGAGUCGACCCCUAAGGCGAGGCCGAAAGGCGUAGUCGAUGGGAAACAGGUUAAUAUUCCUGUACUUGGUGUUACUGCGAAGGGGGGACGGAGAAGGCUAUGUUGGCCGGGCGACGGUUGUCCCGGUUUAAGCGUGUAGGCUGGUUUUCCAGGCAAAUCCGGAAAAUCAAGGCUGAGGCGUGAUGACGAGGCACUACGGUGCUGAAGCAACAAAUGCCCUGCUUCCAGGAAAAGCCUCUAAGCAUCAGGUAACAUCAAAUCGUACCCCAAACCGACACAGGUGGUCAGGUAGAGAAUACCAAGGCGCUUGAGAGAACUCGGGUGAAGGAACUAGGCAAAAUGGUGCCGUAACUUCGGGAGAAGGCACGC